AAGACGGCCUACGGUUGUAAACUGCUUUUAUACGGGAAUAAACCUUGGUACGUGUACCAAGCUGAAUGUACUGUAAGAAUAAGGAUCGGCUAACUCCGUGC
rnacentral:rRNA from 1 species